rnacentral:misc_RNA from 1 species
GAUGAAGAACGUAGCGAAAUGCGAUAAGUAGUGUGAAUUGCAGAAUUCAGUGAAUCAUCGAAUCUUUGAACGCACAUUGCGCCCUGUGGUAUUCCGCAGGGCAUGCCUGUUCGAGCGUCAUUGACACCCUCAAGCUCUGCUUGGUCUUUGGCGUUUGUGCCUGCCGUUGCGCAGGGACUCGCCUCAAACUCAUUGGCAGCCUGCCUUUGCCGGUCUUUGCACAGCACAGUCGUGCCAAAGCCGCGGUGAGCAGGCGCUCCACAAGCCCUUUUCAGCUUGACCUCGGAUCAGGUAGGAAUACCCGCUGAACUUAAGCAUAUCAAUAAGCGGAGGA